rnacentral:rRNA from 1 species
UACGGGGGGGGCAAGCGUUGUUCGGAAUUACUGGGCGUAAAGGGUUCGUAGGUGGCCAACUAAGUCAGACGUGAAAUCCCUCAGCUCAACUGGGGAACUGCGUCUGAUACUGAUUGGCUUGAGUGCAGGAGAGGAACGCGGAAUUCCAGGUGUAGCGGUGAAAUGCGUAGAUAUCUGGAGGAACACCGGUGGCGAAGGCGGCGUUCUGGACUGCAACUGACACCGAGGAACGAAAGCCAGGGGAGCAAACGGG